rnacentral:rRNA from 1 species
CUGGCGGCAGGCCUAACACAUGCAAGUCGAACGGCAGCACAGGGGAGCUUGCUCCCCGGGUGGCGAGUGGCGGACGGGUGAGGAAUACAUCGGAAUCUGCCCAGUCGUGGGGGAUAACCUCGGGAAACCGGGACUAAUACCGCAUACGACCUUCGGGUGAAAGCAGGGGAUCGAAAGACCUUGCGCGAUUGGAUGAGCCGAUGUCGGAUUAUCUAGUUGGCGGGGUAAAGGCCCACCAAGGCGACGAUCCGUACCUGGUCUGAGAGGAUGAUCAGCCACACUGGAACUGAGACACGGUCCACACUCCUACGGGAGGCUGCAGUGGGGAAUAUUGGACAAUGGGCGCAAGCCUGAUCCAGCCAUGCCCGCGUGAGUGAAUAAUGCCUUCGGGUUGUUAAGCUCUUU